GUGAAGCGGCAACAGCUCAAAUUUGAAAUCUGGCCUUCGGGUCCGUAGUUGUAAUUUGUAGAGGAUGCUUUUGGUGCGGUGCCUUCCGAGUUCCUUGGAACAGGACGCCUUAGAGGGUGAGAGCCCCGUACGGUUGGACACCAAGCCUUUGUAAAGCUCCUUCGACGAGUCGAGUAGUUUGGGAAUGCUGCUCUAAAUGGGAGGUAAAUUUCUUCUAAAGCUAAAUACCGGCCAGAGACCGAUAGCGCACAAGUAGAGUGAUCGAAAGAUGAAAAGUACUUUGAAAAGAGGGUUAAAUAGCACGUGAAAUUGUUGAAAGGGAAGCGUUUAUGACCAGACCUUUGUCAGGCGGAUCAUCCGGUGUUCUUCACCGGUGCACUUCGCCUGGCUCAGGCCAGCAUCGAUUUCUGUAGGGGGACAAAGACCAUGGGAACGUAGCUCUCUUCGGGGAGUGUUAUAGCCCUAGGUGUAAUACCCUUACGGGGAUCGAGGUUCGCGCUUCUGCAAGGAUGCUGGCGUAAUGGUCAUCAAUGACCCGUCUUGAAAACACGGACCAAGGAGUCGAACAUUUAUGCGAGUGUUUGGGUGUUAAACCCCUCACGCGUAAUGAAAGUGAACGGAGGUGAGAGCCUUGUAUUA
rnacentral:rRNA from 1 species